rnacentral:tRNA from 1 species
GCCCUAGUAGUCUAGUACAAGACGUCGAAUUUGUAAUUCGAAGAUCGGGAGUUAAAACCUUCCCUAGCGCC